AUUGAACGCUGGCGGCAGGCCUAACACAUGCAAGUCGAGCGGAUGAAGGGAGCUUGCUCCUGGAUUCAGCGGCGGACGGGUGAGUAAUGCCUAGGAAUCUGCCUGGUAGUGGGGGAUAACGUCCGGAAACGGGCGCUAAUACCGCAUACGUCCUGAGGGAGAAAGUGGGGGAUCUUCGGACCUCACGCUAUCAGAUGAGCCUAGGUCGGAUUAGCUAGUUGGUGGGGUAAAGGCCUACCAAGGCGACGAUCCGUAACUGGUCUGAGAGGAUGAUCAGUCACACUGGAACUGAGACACGGUCCAGACUACUACGGGAGGCAGCAGUGGGGAAUAUUGGACAAUGGGCGAAAGCCGGAUCCAGCCAUGCCGCGUGUGUGAAGAAGGUCUUCGGAUUGUAAAGCACUUUAAGUUGGGAGGAAGGGCAGUAAGUUAAUACCUUGCUGUUUUGACGUUACCAACAGAAUAGGCACCGGCUAACUUCG
rnacentral:rRNA from 1 species